GGGCUGCAUGAGCUGCAGAGAGCUCAGCGAGGGGUGACGGAGCUGCAGAGCCGCUAAGCAGGGGAUUAUAGGAAAGCUAAAGGAAAAAAUGAGCCUACAUCAGUGUGGUGUAAAGACAGAAUUAAACUGAGUCACUGGAUCUCUUUCACAAUACAGCAGCAGAGGAUAUUGGCUAGUACCAUGGAAAAGAGAGAUUUAGCAUCCACACCUAGAGCCUUCCUAAAAUAUUGCAGCAGUCUGGCAGUGGGCAAGGCUGCGUGCUGAACACAGGGGGAUGCUGAGCUCCAGGUGGCCAUACAUCCCCGUGUGGCACUGCACAGUGGCACAUGGGCAUGGUGAGUGGCUGGAGAAAGCCAUCAGGCCUCGCCCUGCAAACUUAUGUCCAACUUGGUGUGCUGACAUUAGACCUCAGAGGAAAUUGGAAAAAAAGACUGCAACUGGAGGUACGCUGCAGCUCUCCUUUUUUGCUGCUGGAAAGAAGUUAAUAAAUGCAGUCACAAUACAAGCCCCCUUUUGGAGCAUACGACUCUUUGCAAGAAGGAGAGCAGAGAGUACGUGGCUACUCCUCUGCAGCUGUGUUUCCAAGUCAGCUGGUGCUUAUUUUCUAAUUGGGAACCACAACAGCAUAUGGGCUCACCUUUGGAGCUCUUCUUUUUGCUCCUCAUGUCCAUUGUAAUCAUUGACUCCAGAUGGGCGUUGACGUUCCUAAUACCAUCCUUACAUGGACAGGACUUUCAUAUGUCCUUCCCGAGACUAAGAAACAAAGAAAAAUAAGAAACAAGGGGAAUUCACCAGGGAAUCUGGAAAAAAUGGGAAAAUUCCUAGGGUUUAUGAAGCACUGGAGAUGCACAAAAGAUCUAGAACAUUUUCUUGAAUUUGCUGAAGAUAAUAAGCUGUUCAGUUCAAAGAAGCCCAAAACAACUGCAGGCUGUUGCCAAAGGAUUCUGCAAAGCCAAGCUACUGAGCAAUAAAGAGGCAGAUAUAUUUGAAGUUGAUAAAUACAGUUUGACAUGUGUUUGGAAAAGAAAUCUACAUACUAUAUUCAUAAUGUUUGCUCAAAGCUCUGUACUGGUCAAGCAAAUAAGAUGAAUGGUAGGAAACACUAUGAAGAAAAUAGCAGCGGCAAACUUCAUUAUAUCAUUAUUUAAACCUAUUGUGACCAGAACUUCAAUAUAUGCAGUUCUAUCUCUUUGGUUUUGAAAAGUACUUUGGAGCACUGAAAAAGGUUGGAAAGAUGAUCAUAGUACCAGUUUAUGUAGGAAAAAUGACUGCAGAGGAGCACUUCAGCUUGGAAAAACAAAACUGAGAGACAAAUGUAAUGAAUAUGAUGAAAACAUGAGCAGAAAGAAGAAACAGAAAAUUAUUGUUCACUGAGUCUCACAAUAUCAGAAUGACAUCAAAUCUAACUCAGAUGUCUCAAACUCAAAGAGAAGAGGAAUUUCAGUGUGCUAUGAAUAGUUAAACCCCACACUUAAUUGUCACAGGAAGCUCAUGGGGUAGAUGCCAAAUUUUACACGUGUUCAGAAAGUAGGCCUGAUUGAUCUACGGAAAAAAAGAAAACAUCCAUAAUUACUAACAGGAGUGUGUACAGGACCAGUUCAAAGUGCAGAUCAGUAGAAUGUGGAAGACUUUACUACAGGAAAUAGCACUGUCUAAGAUACCUCUAGCCAUCUGCCCCUGCCAUGACGCUCCUCACUAGCCUUGAUAUCAUAUGUUAUAUGCAAGACAUGCAGACACACACAAAGUGCAGUCGUAUGUUUGUGUAUGAUGCCCUUAUUCAGUAGAACAAGAGCAAUGCUCAGUCUUUCCAGUUGUCCCAGUUGCCCCAGUGUGUUGUAAAAGUAACCUCCAGUGAAGCCGAAUCGAGCAUUAGGAUAAAAGAUGUGUUCUUAAUGGCCAUUGGUCUGUCCAACUUGAUAUCAGCCCAGGAGUGCUGGGGAGAAACAGAAAUAAAAAAUAGAGGGAAAUUAGUUUUCAAUCGCUCAUUUAGAAUUGCUGUUUUCAAUCAAUGACAAUUUUAAAGCAUUAGACACAUUCUGGAGUAACUUGUCAAAAAUAAAAAAGAAACACUGCAGUUGCUGACAUUCUCAGAGUUUUUUUAAUAAGAUCGGGGUCAGUGAUGGGAAAUAAGCAGGAAGAUGAAUAGGAUGUCAAAAUUAAAUUGAGUUCCAGAAGAGUUAUCUUAAGUUACCAGAAAAACAGAAACUCAUGAAACUUUGUCUCAAACUAAAUGGAAAAUGCAUGUUUUUGCUUAGAAGGUAGUGGGAGGGCUCAUGACUGUCUUUAGAGGUAUUAACAAGCCAUGCUAUUUUUGCAGAUUGAUAAACUCCUUCAUCCUUUGAAUUCUGGAACAGAGAGGGUUCUACUUAUUUUAAAUCCUAAUGAUUUCUGCUGCACCAAGCUCUUUCAUUUUUAUACAGGAAACCCAGAUUAAUUGUUUCAACCAUCUGACUAUCCAUUACAAUCAGAGGAUGCACUUCUUGUUAAAGUUUCAGAAUUGUUGAAUAAAAUACCAUUUUAACA
ensembl:lncRNA